rnacentral:lncRNA from 1 species
GUCCUGCAGGAGGAGUCGGCGGCCACCCCCGUGCGCCCCGCCGCCCGCCUGCGCCCGGCAGAGGCGCCGCGGUGCGCCCUGGGACUAGCCGCCGCCCUGCUCCGGGCCUCGCUCCCUGACUGGAGAGGGAGGGGCCGCGCCGUCGCUCAGCGACCCGGCCUCCCCGCCGCCGACCCCGCCGGAAACCUCGGUCCUCACGGUGCUUCCCGGUCUGCUGCUCCCCCGACCCCAGGCCCACGGCACGGCGUCCCCCUUCGCGCGGCCUACGCAGCCUCGGGGUAGCGUGUGGCCUCCACCCGGCCGGUCCGCUUCGCUGGCAGCCGCAACUUCCCGUCUGCACCCAGCUAGGUCCCGCGGCUACCCGAGAGGAACGAAGUAUUGGGACAAUGUGAACGUAGUCGCCGCCGAUUCCCACCGCACUUCAAAGAUGUGGGAACGCCAAGAUCCGCGGAAGUAACCACGCCCAGCAAGUCCCUGCGAGAUUGCCCGCCUACGUGUCUCAGCGGAGGCACAUUUCUAAAAUGUACCAGGUCUCUCGCACCCCGACGCAGGUGGAGGAAAGUGGAGAGGGAGGGGCAUCCUGUACAGAAAUCUCAAUUUAUACUCAAUUGAUGGUUGGCAAGAGUUGGGGCUCGCAGCCAAAGCGAGGCUCCCUCCCUCGCCCAUCCGGUGCUGCCUCCUCGUCCAGAGCAAUUCUGAGGGGUAAAAAUGUUGCCUUCCGUUGAACCUGAAUUUGCCCGCAGAUGCUAGCCUCCGGCCCACAGCGCGGCUGGAGCUUGUCCCCUUCCCCAGCUGUUUCCAGUCUCCGCAUCCGUCUUGUGUUGCUCCAGGUGCUUCAACAGCUCUCAGCGCUCGGUGGUUGGUGAACUGUGGUAAAGUGCACGCAGAAUAAGGUCUACGUGAUUAAGCACCGCCUGGGGGUUGGGGUCUGGAGGCCCAGCUGCACAGAUGAAAGGGAGGCUCAGAGACGUUUGGGACCAACCGAGAUCACACAGCUGAUUAGGAAUAAAAUUCAGGUCAAGCUGAAAGUCGGCCGCCACCGUCCAGCGUGGAUCCCAGGACACCGUGAACGGACUACAGAAGUUGACUUUCGCGUUUUUAAGGAGUGGGGUGCAGGGAAACAAUCCUCCGCCGGCCCUGCGGGCUGAUGCCGACCCUCACCUGCUCCCGCCACGUGGAGAGGUAGAGAGAAGCCCCGGGCCAAGCAGCAUUGAGCCCUGGUCCCUUCUAUUUAAAUAUGAAAUAUUUUGCAUACACUUUUCUAGAUGUACUUAAUAUACACAAUGUUUUAAUGUUUGUGAUUUUUUUGUUUUGCCAAAAAAAUACAAUCAAUCAGAAAUUCA